UGUUAAAAAAUUUAUCUAUUUGUAUAAUUAAAAAUUGGCGCAGUUGACAAAAUAACCAAACAGAGAGACGUGGCGUGCCACGUGUACCUUAUGCUGAUGUACAAGGACCAACUUUUAACAGUAGAAAUUGAUAAAAAUUUUAAUA
rfam:Gossypium hirsutum cultivar TM-1 chromosome 4, whole genome shotgun sequence